ACUCAAAUGAAUUGACGGGGGCCCGCACAAGCGGUGGAGCAUGUGGUUCAAUUCGACGCAACGCGCAGAACCUUACCUGGGUUAAAUCCACUCGAACCUUGCAGAGAUGCGGGGGUGCUCUUCGGAGAGCGAGUGAGAAGGUGCUGCAUGGCUGUCGUCAGCUCGUGUCGUGAGAUGUUGGGUUAAGUCCCGCAACGAGCGCAACCUCUGUCGUUAGUUGCCAGCAUUGAGUUGGGCACUCUAACGAGACUGCCGCCGUCAAGGCGGAGGAAGGCGGAGAUGACGUCAAGUCCUCAUGGCCCUUAUGUCCAGGGCUACACACGUGCUACAAUGGAUGCCACAAAGGGUUGCAAAGCCGCGAGGUGGAGCCAAUCUCAAAAAAGCAUCCUCAGUUCGGAUUGCAGUCUGCAACUCGACUGCAUGAAGCUGGAAUCGCUAGUAAUCCCUGAUCAGCAGGCAGGGGUGAAUACGUUCCCGGGCCUUGUACACACCGCCCGU
rnacentral:rRNA from 1 species